rnacentral:rRNA from 1 species
GAUUUGAUCCUGGUUCAAGACCAACGCUGGCGGCGUGCCUAACACAUGCCAGUCCCGGGAGAAAACCUCCUUCGGGAGGCGAGUAGACCGGCCGACUGCUGCGUAACGCGUGAGCGACCUGCCUGGGACAGGGGGAUAACUCGGGGAAACUCUGGCUAAUACCCCUUGACAUGGUCACCGCCCCUGCGGAGACCAUCUGAGGAGGGGAUCCUUCAGGAGCUCCCGCUGUCUGAUGGGCUCUCGACCUAUCAGGUCUGUGGUGAGGUAAGGGCUCACCAAGGCGAUGACGGGUAGCUGAUCUCAGCGGAUGAUGAUGACUUGGGGACUGAGACACGGCCCCGACUCCUACGGGAGGCAGCAGUGGGGAAUUUUGGACAAUGACCCGAAAGCCUGAUCCAGCGACGGUUGUGCGGGAGGAAGCCCUUCGGGGUGUAAACCGCUGUCAGGAGGGAAGAACCCGGUCCGGUGAAAUACGCCGGGUCGUUGACGGUACCUCCUGAUGAAGCGCCGGCUAACUCCGUGCCAGCAGCCGCGGUAAUACCUUCGGCGCACUUCGUUGUCCGGAAUUACUGGGCGUAAAGGGGCGCACGCGGCCAAUUCAGUCCUAUGUGAAAUCUUGCGGCUCAACUGUGGAAGGCCAUGACUUACUGCCUGGCUAGAGACGGGUAGAGCCUAUAUAAAUUCCCGGUGUAGCGCUGGAAUGCGUAGAUAUCGACUACAACACUAUUUGAUAAUGUGGCUUGCUGGGCCCGUUCUGACUCUCAGGCCCAAAAGCGUGAGGCAGCAAACAUGAUUAGAUACUCUGCUACUCCACAUCUUUACCUUUCGAGC